CCUACGGGAGGCAGCAGUGAGGAAUAUUGGUCAAUGGACGAGCGUCUGAACCAGCCAAGUCGCGUGAGGGAUGACUGCCCUAUGGGUUGUAAACUUCUUUUAUCAAGGAAUAAAACGAGGCACGUGUGCCUUUUUGCAUGUACUUUAUGAAUAAGGCUCGGCUAACUCCGUGCCAGCGACCGCGGUAAUACGGAGGAUCCGAGACUUAUUCGGAUUUAUUGGGUUUAAAGGGAGCGUAGAUGGGUUGUUAAGUCAGUUGUGAAAGUUUGCGGCUCAACCGUAAAAUUGCAAUUGAUACUGGCAGUCUUGAGUACAGUUGAGGUAGGCGGAAUUCGUGGUGUAGCGGUGAAAUGCUUAGAUAUCACGAAGAACCCCGAUUGCGAAGGCAGCUUACUAAACUGUGACUGACAUUGAUGCUCGAAAGUGUGGGUAUCAAACAGGAUUAGAUACCCCAGUAGUC
rnacentral:rRNA from 1 species